UGGGGAAUAUUGGACAAUGGGCGAAAGCCUGAUCCAGCCAUGCCGCGUGUGUGAAGAAGGUCUUCGGAUUGUAAAGCACUUUAAGUUGGGAGGAAGGGCAUUAACCUAAUACGUUAGUGUUUUGACGUUACCGACAGAAUAAGCACCGGCUAACUCUGUGCCAGCAGCCGCGGAAAUACAGAGGGUGCAAGGGUUAAUCGGAAUUAAUGGGCGUAAAGCGCGCGUAGGUGGUUUGUUAAGUUGGAUGUGAAAUCCCCGGGCUCAACCUGGGAACUGCAUUCAAAACUGACUGACUAGAGUAUGGUAGAGGGUGGUGGAAUUUCCUGUGUAGCGGUGAAAUGCGUAGAUAUAGGAAGGAACACCAGUGGCGAAGGCGACCACCUGGACUAAUACUGACACUGAGGUGCGAAAGCGUGGGGAGCAAACA
rnacentral:rRNA from 1 species